rnacentral:rRNA from 1 species
UACGGAGGGGGCUAGCGUUGUUCGGAAUUACUGGGCGUAAAGCGCGCGUAGGCGGCUUUGUAAGUUAGAGGUGAAAGCCCGGAGCUCAACUCCGGAAUUGCCUUUAAGACUGCAUCGCUAGAAUCAUGGAGAGGUGAGUGGAAUUCCGAGUGUAGAGGUGAAAUUCGUAGAUAUUCGGAAGAACACCAGUGGCGAAGGCGGCUCACUGGCCCGGUACUGACGCUGAGAUACGAAAGCGUGGGGAGCAAACAGG